rnacentral:rRNA from 1 species
UACGAAGGGGGCUAGCGUUGUUCGGUCUCACUGGGCGUAAAGCGCACGCGGGCGGAUCGAUAAGUCGGGGGUGAAAGCCCGGGGCUCAACCUCGGAAUUGCCUUCGAUACUGUCGGUCUCGAGUCCGGGAGAGGUGAGUGGAAUUCCUAGUGUAGAGGUGAAAUUCGUAGAUAUUAGGAAGAACACCAGUGGCGAAGGCGGCUCACUGGCCGGGUACUGACGCUCAGGUGCGAAAGCGUGGGGAGCAAACAGG